rnacentral:rRNA from 1 species
GAUGAACGCUGGCGGCGUGCCUAAUACAUGCAAGUCGAGCGAACGGACGAGAAGCUUGCUUUUCUGAUGUUAGCGGCGGACGGGUGAGUAACACGUGGAUAACCUACCUAUAAGACUGGGAUAACUUCGGGAAACCGGAGCUAAUACCGGAUAAUAUUUUGAACCGCAUGGUUCAAAAGUGAAAGACGGUCUUGCUGUCACUUAUAGAUGGAUCCGCGCUGCAUUAGCUAGUUGGUAAGGUAACGGCUUACCAAGGCAACGAUGCAUAGCCGACCUGAGAGGGUGAGCGGCCACCCUGAAACUGAAACCCGGUCCAGACUCCUGGGGGGGGCAGCAGUAGGGAAUCUUCCGAAAGGGGCGAAAGCCUGACGGAGAAACGCCGGGUGGGUGAUGAAGGUCUUCGGAUCGUAAAACUCUGUUUUUAGGGAAAAACAUAUGUGUAAGUAACUGUGCACAUCUUGACGGUACCAAAACAGAAAGCCACGGCUAACUACG